rnacentral:rRNA from 1 species
UACGUAGGGUCCGAGCGUUGUCCGGAAUUACUGGGCGUAAAGAGCUCGUAGGUGGUUUGUCGCGUUGUUCGUGAAAACUCACAGCUUAACUGUGGGCGUGCGGGCGAUACGGGCAGACUUGAGUACUGCAGGGGAGACUGGAAUUCCUGGUGGAGCGGUGAAAUGCGUAGAUAUCGGGAGGAACACCGGUGGCGAAGGCGGCGACCUGGGUAGAUACUGACGCUGAGGUGCGAAAGCGUGGGGAGCAAACAGG